CGGCGGGCCGCGACCGGCCUGAGCGCUGCUCGCGGCCGGGGGACGCCCGUCCGCUGGCCCCCAGGAGCCGGGCCCUGCCCGCUCGGCGGGGCUCCUUGCGGCAGCUGGAGGGUGUGCUUGUAAGCCAGGCAUUGUUGACUUUGCUCUGUGUGUUGGCUUCUGAACAAAGGCGCUGCUGAAAAGAUAUCAGCAGAAUGUUCCAGAGAUCCAAAUGUUACUAAUGGCAGCCUUCAAGUGAUGUGAGUUCUGCUCAAAGUAUGUUAAGCAUUUAUUUGAUAGUUAAGCAGUUAAACUCUUUGACAUUGGUUCA
rnacentral:lncRNA from 1 species